GCGCCAGCCUUGCACGUUACCUGGACCUGACACGUGACCGCGACGCCACGUGACUCGGGUCUCGCCUCCGACCCCAGCCCGGUCUCCGGCCGGCGGAAGCGGAAGGCGGGCGGUGGGCGCAGCUGAUCACCUCCUUGCGGGGCCUCUGGGUCCCGCCUGGGGCUGCCGGAUGAAAAGAGGCGUUUGGGCCGGACGUGCGGCUCUCCGCCGCGGGCCGAGGGCUCUGCCCUGUUCUUCUCUUUUCUCGACUGCUGCCCGCGCUCUGGCCACACCGGCCCUUUGCAGAGAGAGGUGACGCCCUCCUGCCCUGCUGCUUCGUUGAGCACUUCCAACCCCACCUCCUGGGGAAACGUGCCUCCAGUUCACCUUCAGUGCAGCCUUGGAAGCCCCUUCCUAUGUUGAGAGAACGCCUUACCCUCUGAAUAUGGAUGGCAGACAGAGCACCCAGCAGAAGCUGACAAAACCAGAUGGUCACUUUCCCAGCCGCUAAGCUUGUGGGAUCUUACUUCCCUGACCAGGGAUCGAACCUGUGCCCCCGGCAAUGGAAGCACAGAGUCCUAAGCACUGGACCGCCAGGGAAGUCCCAGAUCUGAACUAUUCUGACUGAAGGAGAGAUGUGGAAAACCAAGCGCACUGAAGGACUCCACACCUUCUGAAUUCUGUUGGAGCCUUUUUGAAAGCCUUUUUGAAACAAGGCAGUGAGGGCACUGGAGCAGGCCUGUAAGGAAGAAUUUUCCAUUGUGGACCAGUUGGUUACUCCAAAAUACCGUCCCUACAGGAAAGGUGGGAUCUGUGCCUGAUUCGUGAUUCUUUUGUCUGGCUUCAGAGUAAGAACUCAGUGCUGAAGCAGCUUCCAAAAGUGAACUGCCGCGCCUGGCGUGAACCGUGCGCUCUGGGGGGUGAUGACCUGUCGGUGCAGGUUCCUCAGCGGUGACCGAUGCCCCACCUGGUGUGGACACUGAUGGUGGGGGAGGCCACGCGUGGCGGGGAGGUAGCAGAGGGGGUAUGGGAACUCUGUACUUUCAAUUUUGCUGUGAACCUGAAACUGCUCUAAAAAAUCCAGUUUAUUAAAAAAUAAAGUGAACAUCACAUUUUUAAAAAUGUGAUGUUAAAGUGCUAUGCUACCGUGGAUUUCGGUAUAGUUGAUAUGUCUUCAGUCUUUUGUAGUUAUCAUCAUUUCCAGGUUAAAAUUGUGUGGUCUUGGUAGUGCAGCCUUCUAGAUGUGAGUAACUGUGGUAUUUCUCUCCACGUGCCCACAGCCUGACCUGACCUGUAAGAAAUUAUGUCCCUGUAGCUUUCAUUUGCAUUUUCCUUAUGAGUGGGGCACCUGCCUUUUUUGCCCAUCUUUCUAUCAGAUUAUAGAGAUAUUUGCAAUACAAGUCACAUUUUUAAAGUCAGUGUAUCAUUUUUAGAACCGUUUUGGUAUUUUAGUUUGCUUGUGGCAUGUUUUUGUUUGCGGAAGUUCUUUUGUUUAAACGUGGGUGAAUUGAUCACUCUUCCAUAGCAUUUGGGUGUUAAGACCUUCCUAGUCCUAGCUUAGAAGACUCCGUCUGUUCUCUGCCAGUGCGUGUGUAGUUUCAUUUCUGCGUUUGUAUCUCUGAUGCAGGAUGCCGACGGGCAGGGCAGAGUAGGGGUCCGUGUCACCCUUCCCACGCAGGUCUCUAGGUAUCCUUCCACUUAUCGAAAGCUCACCUUUCGCCCACUGAUUUGAGGUCCCACCCUCCUCCUGUGCUGACGUGAGAACAUACUUGACUUGACUUGAUUUUUGGAGCUGCCCCAGCGCCACUCUUCUGAAGUUACAGAUGCUGUAUCUGCAGGGCCAGCUCCCUCCCUUUUCUCCUUCAGGGUUUUUCUAACUAUUGUUGUCUAUUUUGCCAUAUGAUCUUUUGCAAUCAAGUUGUCUUUAAAAAUAAAAUUAACGUUCACCCAAGAGAAAUUCUGACUGAGGUUGGCAGUGUUUAGGCAGCCGUAGCCAUCACUGCCCCAGGCUGCACGCAGGCGGUGGCGGGGGUCCUCCGCGCACUGGGAAGUGUGGGACGUUCUGGAAAGGGCAAAACUGUCCGGAUUGGCGGGGCUGGGGGCAGCCUGAGGGGUCUGGGCUGACAGGGCUGUUCCGUCUGCUAACGAGAGGGUGGGGAUGGGACUUUGAAGGUUUGCCAAGCCCGUAGAAACGUGCACCCCGAAGACUGAACUUAUGUUAAUUUUAAAGCUAUCAAGCAGGAUGUAGGGGUGCAGUCCGUGACAAAGGUGACUGUCCUGGUGGCCCCGUGGCCACACCGCCGACCCCAGGAACUCCGUGUGCGGACCCUGUCGUCCGGCUGGCCGGCUCCUUUUCACUGGGGUGGUUAGCGGUUCUGAAGCUGUAUGUUUACCGGUGUUGAACAAAUGAGGAGAUACCUUGCAGAUAAUGAGAACCCGCAGGUUCCUUGCUGUGGGAGAGACAAGCUGCAGG